CACGGCGCUGGUCCGGGCGGUCACGUCGGUGCUCGCCGAGCACCCCGGCGAGCGGUUCUACGCCGCCGCGCUGUGGC
rnacentral:tRNA from 1 species